GCCUCUGUAGCUCAGUAGGUGGAGCGUACGGCUGUUAACCGUAUGAUAAAGUGAUUUAUCCGGCAAAGGUCACCAGUUCAAGUCUGGUCAGAGGCG
rnacentral:tRNA from 1 species